AAGAUCUUAAGUUAUAAAAACUAUCACCCUUCAAAGGUGGAAAAGGAAGUCCAGGUCUUA
rnacentral:tRNA from 1 species